rnacentral:misc_RNA from 1 species
GAUGAGGAACGUAGCGAAAUGCGAUAAGUAGUGUGAAUUGCAGAAUUCAGUGAAUCAUCGAAUCUUUGAACGCACAUUGCGCCCCAUGGUAUUCCGUGGGGCAUGCCUGUUCGAGCGUCAUUUACCCCCUCAAGCUCCGCUUGGUGUUGGGCGUCUGUCCCGCUUCGCGCGCGGACUCGCCCCAAAGGUAUUGGCAGCGGUCGUGCCAGCUUCUCGCGCAGCACAUUGCGCUUCUCGAGGCACCGGUGGGCCCGCGUCCAUCAAGCUCACCCCCCCAGUUUGACCUCGGAUCAGGUAGGGAUACCCGCUGAACUUAAGCAUAUCAAUAGGCGGAGGA